rnacentral:rRNA from 1 species
GACGAACGCUGGCGGCGUGCUUAACACAUGCAAGUCGUACGGUAAGGCCCUUUCGGGGGUCCACGAGUGGCGAUCGGGUGCGUAACACGUGAGUAACCUGCCCACAACUUUGGGAUAACGCUAGGAAACUGGUGCUAAUACUGGAUAUGUGCUCCUGCUGCAUGGUGGGGGUUGGAAAGCUCCGGCGGUUGUGGAUGGACUCGCGGCCUAUCAGCUUGUUGGUGGGGUAGUGGCCUACCAAGGCGGCGACGGGUAGCCGGCCUGAGAGGGUGACCGGCCACAUUGGGACUGAGAUACGGCCCAGACUCCUACGGGAGGCAGCAGUGGGGAAUAUUGCACAAUGGGCGCAAGCCUGAUGCAGCAACGCCGCGUGCGGGAUGACGGCCUUCGGGUUGUAAACCGCUUUCAGCAGGGACGAAGCUUUUUGUGACGGUACCUGCAGAAGAAGCACCGGCUAACUACGUG